UGUGUAAUAAUAAAGUAUAUGUUAUUUUAAGUAUUAGUAUGUCUUAUAAACUUGCAUUAACAGAUAUUAUUUACAGAUAGUAGGUGAAUUUCUUUUUUUUUUUUAAGAAUAAAUUUUGCAAUGCCUAAUAUAUAUCUAAUUCCUUCCUUUUUUUGUAGUAUUAUGAAAAGAUUUAUAAUUUUUUAAUUUGUUUUUAUAUAUACAUAUAUUUAUAUAGAAGUUUAAUUUUAGGUAGUCGGGUAGUUACCGACAUCCAACAACCAGGGUUGACCUGGUUGCAACGUGCUAUGGGAAACCAAAGCUCAUUUACUUUUUGACAUAAGCAUAUUGCUUGGCUUAUGACAAUUAAUGUUUAUCAUUGAUGUUUAUCAUUAUCAAUGAUGGCAAUGCAUUUUUCUAUCAAGUAUAACAGAGUUUCGCUUGCGUGGAUUGAGAGAUGUUAAACAGUAUUGAAGAGUCGGCUAUCGAUUUUUUUGUUUGGUAAUGGGAAGUUUGUUGCGUAUCAGGAGUUAAGUGAUUUUGAAUUUUUUAACUUAAUAAAUCAUUCUCAUAUUUAGUAAUCUCUAAUGGGUUUUUCAGUUAUGGUGCUAAAUAUCUAAUGCAUUUUCAUUUAUUUUUUAUUGCAAGGUUUUAAAAAUAAUGGCAAUUUGCUACUGUGGAUAUUUAUGUUAAAGACCUCAAGAUUAUAUUUAUUAAUUCAGUUAAACAACAUGAUGAAAACUACAUGGUUGCUUCAGUGGAUGUUGAUCUUUUUCAUAUCAAGAUUAAACCGAUAUUAUUGGAUGUGGUUUCCUUUGCGUACUAAAGAAUCGACUCUUUCUAUCUAUGGAUGUCACAGUUUUGUUUGCUUCAAAAUCUAGGCUUUUUUCAAAGCCACAA